UACGGAGGAUGCGAGCGUUAUCCGGAUUUAUUGGGUUUAAAGGGUGCGUAGGCGGAAUAUCAAGUCAGCGGUAAAAUUUCGGGGCUCAACCCCGACAAGCCGUUGAAACUGGCUUGCUAGAGUGGGCGAGAAGUAUGCGGAAUGCGUGGUGUAGCGGUGAAAUGCAUAGAUAUCACGCAGAACUCCGAUUGCGAAGGCAGCAUACCGGCGCCCAACUGACGCUGAAGCACGAAAGCGUGGGUAUCGAACAGG
rnacentral:rRNA from 1 species